rnacentral:ncRNA from 2 species
CCGUUUUGCCACGCUUGAGGUGCCUCGGACCGGAACGCGGUCGGGGUUAAGAGGGAAUACGGAAGGGCCGGAAAGGCCCCCGCCGUGGCUGCUCCCGCAACUGUGAGCGCGGAGGCAUGUCGACUACGCCACUGGGCGCCAGCCCGGGAAGGCCGACCUGCCGAUGAAGCGCGAGCCAGGAAACCUGCCUCAGGCCGUCACCUUCC